CAAAAGAGCUUGGAGGCAUGCUUAUUUUCGGGUUCUUGAUGACAUGAAAGACAGGGUCUAUGUGGUUAUAGCAUUAAGGUUGAAAUGGUUGCAAAACAACCUGAGAAGAUACUUUCUCGAUUUACGAUGUUUAAGGGGUCGCAGCGAAAGAGAGAAGGUAAUGGAUGGUGGUGGAACUUGAAGAAACCGGGGAAAACAUUCCAGGGAGCACCUGCAUAACCUCAUCAAGUUGACAUGUUUCCACAACUUCAGUACUGAGACGCCUAAAGAUUUUGUUCUCAAGUCUGCAGCAUUUAGAAUUGCUCUUCUAAUUAUCAACUUGGUGGUGUUGUUAUGGAUAUUAUACUUUAUUCUAUGUUAUUUGCUGUUAUGUACGUUAUACUAGCUAAGUUACUUCUUGUUAUAUAUCAUCAUAAGAUGAGCAUUCAGAUA